rnacentral:rRNA from 1 species
AGCAGCCGCGGUAAUUCCAGCUCCAAUAGCGUAUAUUAAAGUUGUUGCAGUUAAAAAGCUCGUAGUUGAAUUUCGGGGCCAGUAGGUCGGUCGUGCCACUGGUAUGUACUGACCUCACUGGUCCCUCCUUCUUGUAGAACCGUGAUGCCAUUAAUUUGGUGUUGCGGGGAAACAGGACUGUUACUUUGAAAAAAUUAGAGUGCUUAAAGCAGGCUU